rnacentral:rRNA from 1 species
AGACGUCUACAUUAGGAUACCCCCGUAGUCCCAGCCGUAAACUAUGCGCGUUAGGUGUAUCGGUGACCACGAGUCACCGAGGUGCCGAAGGGAAACCGUGAAACGUGCCGCCUGGGAAGUACGGUCGCAAGGCUGAAACUUAAAGGAAUUGGCGGGGAGCACCACAACGGGUGGAGCCUGCGGUUUAAUUGGACUCAACGCCGGGAAGCUCACCGGAUAAGACAGCGGAAUGAUUGCCGGGCUGAAGACUCUGCAUGACUAGCUG